rnacentral:rRNA from 1 species
CAGCAGCCGCGGUAAUACGUAGGGUGCAAGCGUUAAUCGGAAUUACUGGGCGUAAAGCGUGCGCAGGCGGUUAUAUAAGUCAGAUGUGAAAUCCCCGGGCUCAACCUGGGAACUGCAUUUGAGACUGUAUGGCUAGAGUGUGUCAGAGGGGGGUAGAAUUCCACGUGUAGCAGUGAAAUGCGUAGAUAUGUGGAGGAAUACCGAUGGCGAAGGCAGCCCCCUGGGAUAACACUGACGCUCAUGCACGAAAGCGUGGGGAGUAAACAGGAUUAGAUACCCGUGUAGUCCCUGUCUCUUAUAC